CAAUAGCGUAUAUUAAAGCUGUUGCGGUUAAAAAGCUCGUAGUUGGAUUUCUGUCAAGGACAACUGGUCCGCCCUCCGGGUGAGCACAUAGUUUGGUCUUGGCAUCUUGCUGGAAACUGUUGCUGCGCUUGGUUGUGUGGUGCAGCUUUCAGCACUUUCACUUUGAGGAAAUUGGAGUGUUUCAAGCAGGCACAUGCCUUUGGACACAGUAGCAUGGAAUAAUUAGAUUGGGCUUUUGCUCCAACUUGUUGGUUCCUGGAGCUGAGGUGAGAAUCAAUGGGGAUUGUUGGGGGCAUCCGAAUUUAGCCGUCAGAGGUGAAAUUCUUGGAUCUGCUAAAGACGGACAACUGCGAAANCGNNNGCCCAGGAUGUUUUCAUNGA
rnacentral:rRNA from 1 species